AUUGAACGCUGGCGGCAGGCCUAACACAUGCAAGUCGGGCUAGCGGAGGAAGGGUGAGUAAUGGAUGGGGAUCUGCCUGAUGGAGGGGGAUAACUACUGGAAACGGUAGCUAAUAACGCAUAACAUCAGGUGAACCCAUAUGGGAUUAGCUAGUAGGUGAGGUAACGGCUUACCAAGGCGACGAUCCCUAGCUGGUCUGAUAGGAUGAUCAUCCACACUGGGACUGAGACACGGCCCAGACUCCUACGGGAGGCAGCAGUGGGGAAUAUUGCACAAUGGGCGCAAGCCUGAUGCAGCCAUGCCGCGUGUAUGAAGAAGGCCUUCGGGUUGUAAAGUACUUUCAGUCGGGAGGCGUUACCGACAGAAGAAGCACCGGCUAACUCCGUGCCAGCAGCCGCGGUAAUUC
rnacentral:rRNA from 1 species